rnacentral:rRNA from 1 species
UACGUAGGGUGCAAGCGUUAAUCGGAAUUACUGGGCGUAAAGCGUGCGCAGGCGGUUGUGCAAGACCGAUGUGAAAUCCCCGGGCUUAACCUGGGAAUGGCAUUGGUGACUGCACGGCUAGAGUGUGUCAGAGGGGGGUAGAAUUCCACGUGUAGCAGUGAAAUGCGUAGAGAUGUGGAGGAAUACCGAUGGCGAAGGCAGCCCCCUGGGAUAACACUGACGCUCAUGCACGAAAGCGUAGGGGAGCAAACAGG